UACAUAGGGUGCGAGCGUUGUCCGGAAUUAUUGGGCGUAAAGAGCUCGUAGGCGGUCUGUCGCGUCGGUCGUGAAAACCUGCAGCUUAACUGUGGGCGUGCGGUCGAUACGGGCAUGACUGGAGUUCGGCAGGGGAGACUGGAAUUCCUGGUGUAGCGGUGAAAUGCGCAGAUAUCAGGAGGAACACCGGUGGCGAAGGCGGGUCUCUGGGCCGAUACUGACGCUGAGGAGCGAAAGCGUGGGGAGCGAACAGG
rnacentral:rRNA from 1 species